rnacentral:misc_RNA from 1 species
UACGGAGGGUGCAAGCGUUGUUCGGAAUUAUUGGGCGUAAAGGGCAGGUAGGUGGUCUUGAAAGUCUGUUGUGAAAUCCCCGAGCUUAACUCGGGAAGUGCGGCAGAUACUCCAAGACUAGAGUGCUGGAGGGGUGCGUGGAAUUCCCGGUGUAGCGGUGGAAUGCGUAGAUAUCGGGAGGAACACCAGAGGCGAAGGCGGCGCACUAGACAGUUACUGACACUCAACUGCGAAAGCGUGGGGAGCAAACAGG